rnacentral:rRNA from 1 species
GUCUAGAAGUUUCCAGAGAUGGAUUCGUGCUCGAAAGAGAACUAGAACACAGGUGCUGCAUGGCCGUCGUCAGCUCGUGUCGUGAGAUGUUGGGUUAAGUCCCGCAACGAGCGCAACCCUUAUCAUUAGUUGCUACGCAAGGGCACUCUAAUGAGACUGCCGGUGACAAGCCGGAGGAAGGUGGGGAUGACGUCAGGUCAUCAUGGCCCUUAUGGGUAGGGCUACACACGUCAUACAAUGGCCGGCACAGAGAGCUGCCAACCCGCGAGGGGGAGCUAAUCUCAGAAAACCGGUCGUAGUCCGGAUCGCAGUCUGCAACUCGACUGCGUGAAGUCGGAAUCGCUAGUAAUCGCGGAUCAGCUUGCCGCGGUGAAUACGUUCCCGGGUCUUGUACACACCGCCCGUCACACCAUGGGAGCGGGUUCUGCCAGAAGUAGUUAGCCUAACCGCAAGGAGGGCGAUUACCACGGCAGGGUUCGUGACUGGGGUGAAGUCGUAACAAGGUAGGCGUAGAUGA